rnacentral:rRNA from 1 species
UACAGAGGUCUCAAGCGUUGUUCGGAUUCAUUGGGCGUAAAGGGUGUGUAGGUGGCGCCGUAAGUCGGGUGUGAAAUCUCGGGGCUUAACUCCGAAAUUGCAUUCGAUACUGCGGUGCUUGAGGACUGGAGAGGAGACUGGAAUUCAUGGUGUAGCAGUGAAAUGCGUAGAGAUCAUGAGGAAGACCAGUGGCGAAGGCGGGUCUCUGGACAGUUCCUGACGCUGAGGCACGAAGGCCAGGGGAGCAAACGGG